ACAGAGCUGCGCUGCAAGGUGUCACCGGUGACCUGCAAUGCUGGGCCUGUUGCUGAAUGUGCUGAAACCGGCAGUGGGGUUUCCGGUGGCACCCCUGGUAUCCAGAGUGUCCUAGCAAGUGUGGUCAGGCCAGAAGGCGGACCUGGACACGGCAACAGGCUGGCAAGAGAGCUGGUCGGUGAUACAGAUCCCGGCUAAGAAUAGAGGCAGUACAGGGGCGGGCCUGCUGCAGAGAUGUGCGAUGAGAAGAAGCUAAUCGAGGCUGGAGCUGACGUCAGACACCCUCCCUGAAACGCUUGGACACGCCUGUGUUUUUCUGGACAAUCCCAGUAAACGAUAUAAUAAACGAGCAGAUGGACUGCACUCAGAGAUGAUCAAAUGAGACUAUUAGACAAGCAGCCUUAUCAUCAACGUUUCGGUGCAUCAUUGUAAAGAGGCAGCGCUCCGAAAUAUGUUAAAGACACCAGGAAGUCAGCCAUCUCUAUGUCAUGGCACAGCAAUGCAUUAUGGGGAGUCCAGCACAACACAGAACUUGCCAUCUUCUGAAAAUUGACUUUUCUCUGUUUAAGAAACCUGUUCGUAAAUGUUACUAAUGUUAAAUGAAAACAACAAUUUUUGCAUUCAGAUGUGUUCGUAAAUAAAGAAAGCAAACUAUUAAA